GAUGAACGCUGGCGGCGUGCCUAAUACAUGCAAGUCGAGCGAACAGAUGAGGAGCUUGCUCCUCUGACGUUAGCGGCGGACGGGUGAGUAACACGUGGAUAACCUACCUAUAAGACUGGGAUAACUUCGGGAAACCGGAGCUUAUACCGGAUAAUAUAUUGAACCGCAUGGUUCAAUAGUGAAAGACGGUUUUGCUGUCACUUAUAGAUGGAUCCGCGCCGCAUUAGCUAGUUGGUAAGGUAACGGCUUACCAAGGCAACGAUGCGUAGCCGACGUGAGAGAGUGAUAGGCGGCACUGGAGGGGGACCGCGGUCAAGGGUCCUGCGGGAGGCAGCAGAAGGGAAUGGUCCGCAGUGGGCGAAAACCUGACGGAGCAACGGGGCGUGAGUGGUGAAGGUCUUCGGAUCGUAAAGCUCUGUUAUUGGGGAAGAACAAAUGUGUAAGUAAAUAUGCACGUCUUGACGGUACCUAGUCAGAAAGCCACGGCUAACUACGUG
rnacentral:rRNA from 1 species